AAUUACCAUGACUCGGAAUAGCACAUCUGAAGCAAGGAAGAGCAAGCCAGGCAAAGGAAAUAUAGCAGUGACAAACAGGAGGAGAGACAGCAGCAUCAAGAAGCAAUCCAGAGAGAACCCCCAUCCCAGCCCUCGGGACUGUGUCUCUCCAAGGUACAUCCUUCACAGCUAUGCAAAACGAUGGGCCAUCUCCAAGAAGCUCACCUGCCCACCACAAUCCCUCCUGCAUGGCAUCUGCCAGAAAGAUCUGUGUCCCCUCAUAAUGAGCUGAGAAGAAUGUUUGACAUGCCCAGUUUAUUGAUACAAGAAGAUCCUAACUCUACACACUAGCCAGUCUUUGCCUGGUCAUGCUAAAUUCAUGACAGUUGUUUUAUUUUUUUUCCCAUUGGUUUAUUAGAUCACUUUAUAGCCCAGGCUGGUCUUAACCAUGCAAACCUUCUGACUCAGCCUCCCUAGGGCUGGGAUUAUGGGUAUGUACCACAACUCCCAAAGCAUCACAGUUCUUCUGCACAUCUUCUUCUAAUCACUUUCAGCUCAUAAACUGAUGUUGAAAUGACUAAGGUAACUCGGUCCUGUUAUGACUCAAUUUUAUAUUUGCUUAGGCAAUUCUCAGCCCUCUGACCUCCCUGAAGUGAUCACAUUUGCCUUGGCAACAUAGUUGACAUUUUCAUGGCCUUGGCCAUGACCCAUCCAGAUGUAUUAACCAAAAUAAUUAAGCUAAAGUAAUUAGAAAAAAAUAUAGGUAAAAAGAUAAAUGGCAUGUUACGUCUAAGAUAACUACCAUGCUUUGCCAGGAAUGAAUGUUUCAAGGUUACUCUGACCCUCAUCCAACUUGGAUGUAAAUUAUGGUCUGUGGCUUUUUGCCUACAAAAUUCUGUACCACUGAACUUGGGUACCAAGAGAUUUCAUAUGCACAACUCGGCUCUUCGUGGUCUGGCUAUCAAU